CCGGAAGCGGAUCGCGUGGUGUGAAGGUCCUACCGCGGCACGUGAGUUUCGCUCUGCCUUGUAUUAAGUCUGCACUUCCCAGGUCCCCGGCGCUUCUGUCCCUGGGACGUGGGAUCCCCACGGACCUGGAAAUUCUCGCCGGUCUUCCUUCACCCAGAGCAAAUUGAGACAUCCCGGAGGAAGACCAAGGCAGCCUAUUGGCCCUUCCAGGCAAUCACAUGGGAAUCAGCCACACCUCCUUCCUCCUCACCUCAGAGCUUCUCAGAAUAACUUGGUGAAAUGUCUCCCGCUGUGAGCCUCAGUGAGCCCACCUGUAACAUAGAGGUGAGGCAUAAGACCGGAAAAGCUCAGUCAGUGACACUGACCCCUGAAAGGACUGACAAAAUACAGUGUGUGGCUUUUCUUCUGGGAGAGAUAGUGCUCAGUUUUAACUUGAAUUUUAAAUGAUUUCCAGUUCUCAAAAAAAAAAAAAAAAAAAGCACAAGAUGAGCAAAAACAGGGGAUUAGACUCAAGUCACCUUGAACCUUAUCAUCUCACAGCUUUCACCCACCUACACGACUCCAUGUCCCCUGCAGGCCUCGCCCCUGAGCUCUACAAUCCUGUGUCCAGUUGUCUCCUCAGCUCUCUCUUGGGACAUCA
rnacentral:sRNA from 1 species